UACAGAGGUCUCAAGCGUUGUUCGGAUUCAUUGGGCGUAAAGGGUGCGUAGGUGGCGUCGUAAGUCAGGUGUGAAAUUUCGGAGCUUAACUCCGAAACUGCAUUUGAUACUGCGGUGCUUGAGGACUGGAGAGGAGACUGGAAUUUACGGUGUAGCAGUGAAAUGCGUAGAGAUCGUAAGGAGGACCAGUGGCGAAGGCGGGUCUCUGGACAGUUCCCGACACUGAGGCACGAAGGCCAGGGGAGCAAACGGG
rnacentral:rRNA from 1 species